rnacentral:lncRNA from 1 species
UGGAGCCUCACAAAUGGCAUCAGUGCCCUUGUAAAAGAAGCCCCAGACCUCCCUCACCCGUCCCAUCACCUGAGGACACAGCGAGAAGCCAGCCUUCUGCAACUGGAAGGGGGCCCUCGCCAGAACCCACCAUGCUGGCACCUUGAUCUUGGACUUCCAGCCUCCAGAAUGCAUGGAACAUGGCGUGAUGGCUCGAACUCCAGCAGCCAUCUAGAAACCACGAGGCUAAGUCAGCGCUGGGGGUGCUGAGCAGAAAGAGAAGGAGCCUGAGACGCCCAGGGCACUUGGAGCUGCUGU